AUUGAACGCUGGCGGCAUGCCCUACACAUGCAAGUCGAACGGUAACAGGUCUUCGGAUGCUGACGAGUGGCGAACGGGUGAGUAAUGCAUCGGAACGUGCCCAGUAGUGGGGGAUGGCCCGGCGAAAGCCGGAUUAAUACCGCAUACGAUCUAUGGAUGAAAGCGGGGGAUCGCAAGACCUCGCGCGAUUGGAGCGGCCGAUACCAGAUUAGGUAGUUGGUGGGGUAAAGGCCCACCAAGCCAACGAUCUGUAGCUGGUCUGAGAGGACGACCAGCCACACUGGAACUGAGACACGGUCCAGACUCCUACGGGAGGCAGCAGUGGGGAAUUUUGGACAAUGGGCGAAAGCCUGAUCCAGCCAUUCCGCGUGCAGGAUGAAGGCCCUCGGGUUGUAAACUGCUUUUGUACAGAACGAAAAGGUUUCUACUAAUACUAGGAGCUCAUGACGGUACUGUAAGAAUAAGCACCGGCUAACUACGUGCCAGCCGCCGCCGUAACAC
rnacentral:rRNA from 1 species